UGGGAGAGUUUCCUGGAGCUGUGGGGCAGCGGACAGGGAGCAGAGAGCGACAGUGAAGAGCCCUGCGGGGCACGGGUGCUUUGGGGUGGGGCUCCAACGAAGAGCCUUGCGGGGCACGGGUGCUUUUGGGUGGGGCUCCAACGAAGAGCCCUGCGGGGCACGGGUGCUUUGGGUGGGGCUCCAACGAAGAGCCCUGCGGGGCACGGGUGCUUUGGGUGGGGCUCCAACGAAGAGCCCUGCGGGGCACGGGUGCUUUGGGUGGGGCUCCAACGAAGAGCCCUGCGGGGCACGGGUGCUUUGGGUGGGGCUCCGGCUGUGGGGCUGGGGAGCACUUCCGGGCCACCUGGUCCUCCUCUGAAGCCCUCUGCAACUGUCCCAGGGUGCCUCCCCCAUGGGGCACGGAGGGCUGGAGUCCAGCUUUGCCUGUCUUGGAAGUAGGGCCUCCGGGACACUCGAUGGCGAAUGUUGAGGAGACCCCACUCAGAGUAGGGGUCUGGGUGGGGACCAGCACGGGGGCGGGGGAGUCAGCUGCCAGUUAAGAUGGGACCGACAUGAACUUGUUUGGGUGCUGAAAUCGAGAGAGAGAGAGAGAGAGAGAGAGAGCUCGCUCGCAAUGGGAGAAGAAAUUGUUGAGUUUUUCUCAGUGCUGGAGAGCGAGUCCUUCGCCCGGACGGGUCACCUGUCACUCACCUGUAGCACUGGCAAUGGCGACGUCCAUGUCGCUCUCUCCAUCAGCCACGAUGCGGGGACCAGAGAAGCACCAGCCCAGGCCCUCGGCAUGCACCCUGCCUGUCUGCUGGGGACAGAUGGAGGAGGGAGACGUGGGAGCCCUGGUUUACUGGGAUGGCCGCGGGUCUGGAGGACUCAGGAGCUUUCGGGGAGAAGCAUGGGGCCGGAGAACGCCAUUCAGAAUGGCACGAUUUGCUGUCGUGGAUCUAUGGCCACCGGGAAGGAGGGAGCGAGGCCCCCACCACGGGCACCCGUGUGUCCCUGUGCCUCCUGCAGUUUGAGUUCUCGAAGCCACAGCCCGGGAAGAAGUGACGGAGGAAAGACACCGCCAACACAGAAAGGAGGUGGAGGCCUCCCGAGGGGCUUGUGGGGGUCUCCCCCAUGGGGAGGCUGAGCUCUGCUCUCCCCCCGGCCCGUGCUGCCCUCAGCCCUGGGUGCCUGCCAGUUCCCUCCCGUCCUGAUGCUUCCCUCACCUUUGCUUUGCCUUUUGUGGCCUUGAACCUGGCAUGCCCUUGUUUGAGGUUUUCUCAGGAUCUGACUGAGGUCACGAUGUGCUGUUGAGUGUCCCAGGGUGACAUAAUUACUCUGUGUGACUCCAACAGUGUUAGCAAGAAAUACUAUUAAGUUAUUAUCACCUCG
rnacentral:lncRNA from 1 species